rnacentral:lncRNA from 1 species
GAGCAGGCAGGCCAUAGCCGGCGCUGCCUGACCUCGGAAGGUCCAGGACCCUACGUUCUGCAUCUCGGAGGAAGGACGCUAAAGACGAGAAUCCAGCUGAGGAUCAGUUAAAAAAAUAAAUAAAUAAAAUAAAAUAAAAUAAAAUUAAGGCGGGAAAGCACUGGGUGGUACACCUGUGCGGAGAGAGACUAGAAUCAGGCUACAUCGGUGUCUCGUUUGAAAGGUCCAGAACACAGCCCAGAUUCCCGUCGGUGGCCCUGAGUUGUAGAUCUGACCAGUCCCCUUAGGCUACGGGUAGCGUCCGUCCGUGGAAGCUUAUAAAAAAGCGCCGCCUGACUUCCUUGUAGCCCUGUGCCUCUAAAGGAAGAAGGAAGGAUGGAAGUUUGGGGUUGCUCUUUGUUGGGGUCUCCCUCACUUCUCACUUGCUUAUAGUAGAACUCAGAGGAGGAAGGGGGUUGUUUGGGCAAAGCCCUGCAGAGGAAGUGCGUUUUGAGAGCCCUCUAAGCCAGAGAAAAUAUUGGCUGACUUUGGACGCGGGAUUUGGCCACUGUGAGGGCAGCCUCCCGCUCCUGGCUUAGUGUAGUCCUCCGCUCUCUUCAUUGAUUUUCUGCCAAACUCCGACUUUUUAUUCCCUCGGGACGUUAGGUUUUCUCCCCCGAAGGGAAAGGCUGUGUAUAGCUGGCACUUAGUAUUUUCGCCAAGUAAAAGGCCUGAGGGAACAGAAAUCUGUCAUCUUGCCAUCUUGAGAGCCGUAAUUUACAAAGUUGAACUCCAGCCUUUUUCCAGACUUCCUGUUUAAUGGACGAGGUAACUAGCCCAGAGAGAGGAAGGAGAGGAAGGAGCCUGGUGUCCUAGACUGCAGGUCUAUGAUCUGGAAGUGAAAGCUCCAGAAAGCUCAUGGGACAGGUGUGCCCAGGCUCUGCAAGCCAUACCCAGAGGGCGUGGUUAUUUGCUUGUUGAGUGGGAAGGGAUUUUAUAUUUCAGAAGGACUUUUUGAAAGGGGAAAGAGAUGUAUUGCAGGAAGGACUGAUGAAGUUCAGGGGCCCCUACACCAGCUAGUGGUAAAAUCUCAUGUAACAUGCUAUCUUUUCCUAUAAAAGUAAGUGAUAUAUUGAAUGGACUGAUUAUCUCAACACAUUUUUUUUUUCAGUCCUAGAUAUUUGAGCCUUUGUCACCUUAAAUGACAGGCAGUUUCACAAUCUUGGUUAAGAAAACAAGCAGAUGGGGGCUGGAGAAAUGGCUCAGCGGUUAAGAGCACUGACUGUUCUUCCAAAGGUCCUGAGUUCAAUUCCCAGCAACCACAUGGUGGCUCACAACAACCAUCUGUAAUGGGAUUUGAUGCCCUCUUUCUGGUGUGUCUGAAGACAGCUAUGAUGUACUCAUACAUAUAAGUAAUAUAAAUAAACAAAUAUU